rnacentral:rRNA from 1 species
AUGCAAGUCGAGCGGGGGAAGUUGCUUCGGUAACUGACCUAGCGGCGGACGGGUGAGUAAUACUUAGGAAUCUGCCUAUUAAUGGGGGACAACAUCUCGAAAGGGAUGCUAAUACCGCAUACGCCCUACGGGGGAAAGCAGGGGAUCACUUGUGACCUUGCGUUAAUAGAUGAGCCUAAGUCGGAUUAGCUAGUUGGUGGGGUAAAGGCCUACCAAGGCGACGAUCUGUAGCGGGUCUGAGAGGAUGAUCCGCCACACUGGGACUGAGACACGGCCCAGACUCCUACGGGAGGCAGCAGUGGGGAAUAUUGGACAAUGGGGGGAACCCUGAUCCAGCCAUGCCGCGUGUGUGAAGAAGGCCUUAUGGUUGUAAAGCACUUUAAGCGAGGAGGAGGCUCUUCUAGUUAAUACCUAGGAUGAGUGGACGUUACUCGCAGAAUAAGCACCGGCUAACUCUGUGCCAGCAGCCGCGGUAAUACAGAGGGUGCGAGCGUUAAUCGGAUUUACUGGGCGUAAAGCGUGCGUAGGCGGCUUUUUAAGUCGGAUGUGAAAUCCCCGAGCUUAACUUGGGAAUUGCAUUCGAUACUGGGAAGCUAGAGUAUGGGAGAGGAUGGUAGAAUUCCAGGUGUAGCGGUGAAAUGCGUAGAGAUCUGGAGGAAUACCGAUGGCGAAGGCAGCCAUCUGGCCUAAUACUGACGCUGAGGUACGAAAGCAUGGGGAGCAAACAGGAUUAGAUACCCUGGUAGUCCAUGCCGUAAACGAUGUCUACUAGCCGUUGGGGCCUUUGAGGCUUUAGUGGCGCAGCUAACGCGAUAAGU